rnacentral:rRNA from 1 species
CAGUCUGCAACUCGACUGCGUGAAGUCGGAAUCGCUAGUAAUCGCGAAUCAGAAUGUCGCGGUGAAUACGUUCCCGGGCCUUGUACACACCGCCCGUCACACCAUGGGAGUGGGUUGCACCAGAAGUAGCUAGUCUAACCUUCGGGAGGACGGUUACCACGGUGUGAUUCAUGACUGGGGUGAAGUCGUAACAAGGUAGCCGUAGGGGAACCUGCGGCUGGAUCACCUCCUUAA